rnacentral:lncRNA from 1 species
GAAUCAGGCCAAGACACAGAAAUAUACUGCAUGCCAAAAUGUAAAGGUGACAUGAGUGACCAAAAGAGAGGGAAAGUGAAAGGUCAAGGGAGAAACUCUCAGCAUGUAGGUACAGAACCAUUUCCAUGAGGUCAGCUACAUUCCAAAGUGGCUGCGGCACUGGAUGGGAGCUGUCGGGACAUGCUGCACAGCCCAAGACAGUCUUUGAAGAUGGCUGGAUGCAUGACCUUGUCAUAUACGUAAAACAUCCACAGACUAACUGGAAAAGGACUUCACCUCAGCCAAAGUGAGUGCAUUGCAGAAUAAGUGCAGAGAGCUUACCUUGGUUUUUAAAGAUAUUGCAAUCCGUUUUAACUGGGGAUCUCAUUGCGAUGUGCUCCUAUGUCUUGAGACAGGGCCUUCAAGGGGAUCAAUAUUUCCAGGAUGUUGGUAUUAGCAUCCAUUGUUCGCUGGCUAGAUCUUUUCCAACAGAGCAUGUGACUCUCGUCAUUACAGCAGCGGAAUGCAUUUAUCAAAGUUAAGGAAGUCGUUUGCCAUUCGGAUGGCCCAAGAAGCAUAAAUAUUUAUCAUUGAGCCUUGAGAGAACUCUCUAUUAUAAAAAGAUUGGCUAAUUUCUUAAAACUACUCCUUCAGUAAGGACCCAGGUUAUGUGCCAUGGUAUCUGUAGCUUUCUGGCUGGGUCAGGGUGACCUGCACACAACCCUGGCAGGACGCCCUUGGACACAGUAUUUGCACCCCUUUGGUGUGC